rnacentral:lncRNA from 1 species
CCUACCCUUAUCCUGUUAAUACCUCAAGAUUCUCACAAUUCUACAUCGUCUGAAUUUAAAUUUCCAUUUCCAUUUUGCUGAGUGACGAACUAACGCCAUUAUCCUUCAUUAAUCGGUUGAAACCAUUCCGAAUCCAACCAAGACUCUCCUCUCUUUUCAGCGAAUCAAAGCCAUACUCAUCAAUCAGAUCAGAUAAUAAUCCCUAGCAUCAUUACCCAUUUCCCUAUAAUCCAGUAAAAUUCCCACCCCCAGAAAACAAAGAAUUCAAACAAAAGGCACCAAAAAUAAGAUUAACGGCAUCUUUCUUAGUCCAAUACUUCACAAAUCUUCCACUUAUUAAACCAAAAAAUUGGCAACAAAACGGGGACAGCGAAACGAUCAAAGAUGAAUCAACCCAUCUAAAGUCCACAAAAAUAAAUGGGAAAACCAUCGCGGAUUCAAGCAUCUAUCCAGAAUGGAAUCCUACUAUACAAAGACAUAGAAGCAAUUAAACAAAAAAAAUGAAGGAAAUUAGUU